GAUGAACGCUCGCGGCAGGCCUAACACAUGCAAGUCGAGGGAGAAGCCCUUUCGGGGGCAGAAACCGGCGCACGGGUGCGUAACGCGUAUGCAACCUACCCUUCACAGGGGGAUAGCCCGAAGAAAUUUGGAUUAAUACCCCAUAAUAUUAUUGGAUGGCAUCAUUUGAUAAUUAAAACUGCGGUGGUGAAAGAUGGGCAUGCGUCCUAUUAGCUAGUUGGAGUGGUAACGGCACCCCAAGGCUACGAUAGGUAGGGGUCCUGAGAGGGAGAUCCCCCACACUGGUACUGAGACAGGGACCAGACUCCUACGGGAGGCAGCAGUGAGGAAUAUUGGUCAAUGGUCGGAAGACUGAACCAGCCAUGCCGCGUGCAGGAAGAAUGCCUUAUGGGUUGUAAACUGCUUUUAUAUGGGAAGAAUAAGGCGUACGUGUACGUUGAUGACGGUACCAUAUGAAUAAGCAUCGGCUAACUCCGUG
rnacentral:rRNA from 1 species